AAUCCAUGGUGAGGACAUCUUCUCAUCAAAUCCUUAUACCUUUCCCAAGCCUCAUAUAAUGAUUCAGAAUCAAAUUGCAUGAAAGAAGUAAUAUCACUCUGCAUCU
rnacentral:snoRNA from 1 species